GCUUUAAAUAAGGGAUCGAGCAGACCAAACUGGUUUAAUUGAACCGGACUGACAGGUUUAACUUAACAUACCAUCAAACCGGACCGGGUCUCACAUAGACCGAACCGGCCAAUCCUCACAGCCCUCCUCGCGAUUCAUGACUAGAUCCCCGCGAUGGCACGCGUUCUUCGGCUGUUGAGGAACUGCAACCUCGACGACGUUCGACCACACAGAGUGCGAAGCGUGCGGUGGCAGCCACUCCCUAGGGUACCUACACAGCGCAAUGGCGGAAAACACAAGGCAACGAUGAGACUAGAAUGACGAAGAAGAACCUAUCAAAGAGGUUUGAACUUACCACAAUGUUGAUUACGACGAUGAACCACCUCGACUGCGCCCGGGAGUGAAGCAGGCGAGCGGCGGGAAUCGAAAUGUCUUCACUCUGUUUGUUGCUGAUUUGUAAACGUCUAAGAAACUCUCUGCAGGAAAAAAAAGGACAUCCAAUCUUGUCUUUGCCAUCGUUUGCUGUCAAGACUCUUUACACUUGAAGCAAUUAUACAUCGAUUACAAGCAUGUGCGUAUUGGUCUGCUGGAGGAAACUUUGUUGGGGGAAAUUCUUGGUGCCGUAGUUCUGGCUGAAGGUCUGAUUGAGCCAGCUCUUGAAUCCAAGCCUGUAAAAAUCUUUGCGGAUAGUGAUGAAUCUCAAGAUGGCCAAACUGUCAUCUAUGAACCGAACAGCCUACUUUGAUCUAUUUGCAAAGCGG